rnacentral:rRNA from 1 species
UACGAAGGGGGCUAGCGUUGCUCGGAAUCACUGGGCGUAAAGCGCACGUAGGCGGCUUUCUAAGUCAGGGGUGAAAUCCUGGAGCUCGACUCCAGAACUGCCUUUGAUACUGGAGAGCUUGAGUCCGGGAGAGGUGAGUGGAACUCCGAGUGUAGAGGUGAAAUUCGUAGAUAUUCGGAAGAACACCAGUGGCGAAGGCGGCUCACUGGCCCGGUACUGACGCUGAUGUGCGAAAGCGUGGGGAGCAAACAGG